rnacentral:rRNA from 1 species
AUUGAACGCUGGCGGCAGGCCUAAUACAUGCAAGUCGGACGGGAUUGAGGAGCUUGCUUCUCAUGAGAGUGGCGCACGGGUGCGUAACACGUAUGUAACCUACCUUAGUCGGGGGGAUAGCCUCUCGAAAGAGAGAUUAACACCGCAUAACAUUAUGAUAUGGCAUCAUAUUAUAAUCAAAUAUUUAUAGGACUAAGAUGGGCAUGCGGAACAUUAGCUAGUUGGUAAGGUAACGGCUUACCAAGGCUACGAUGUUUAGGGGAUCUGAGAGGAUUACCCCCCACACUGGUACUGAGACACGGACCAGACUCCUACGGGAGGCAGCAGUAAGGAAUAUUGGUCAAGGGACGCAAGUCUGAACCAGCCAUGCCGCGUGCAGGAAGACGGCCCUACGGGUUGUAAACUGCUUUUGUACCGGAAUAAACCUUUGUAUGUAUACGAAGCUGAAUGUACGGUAAGAAUAAGGAUCGGCUAACUCCGUGCCAGCCGCCGCCGUAA